GCCCUGGUGGCCUAGUGGUUAUAUCAUACACCUCGGAAGCGGGAGGUUGCGGGUUCGAACCCCUGCCGAGUCA